AUUUAAAUAGUUUAAGUAAAAUAGUAAAUUGUGGAUUUACAGAUGUGAUAUUAUUACUUUAAAUA
rnacentral:tRNA from 1 species